UGGCCAUGAACCCUGUUGAGCAUCCCCACGGAGGAGGUAACCACCAGCAUAUUGGUCACGCCUCCACUGUCCGCCGUGAUGCACCACCUGGCCAGAAGGUUGGUCUCAUCGCUGCCAGGAGGACUGGUCGUCUCAGAGGCCAGGCCGCCGCCUCUGCUGCCAAGGCCGACAAGGCCACUUAGAGUUAUCGUUGCUGUUUAUCAAUGUUUGCUAGCUCUAGAUUACCCGUCAAGGACAUGUAUUGCAGUAAGGAUGUUGUUUUUGCUCGGUACUUUGGUAACCUGGUGAUAUUUGUUGUCAGUUUUUGCUGUCGUGGUCUGGAUUCUUCAGUCCACAUAAAGAAGAUUAUUAUGCUUGGGUAUUUGUCUGUCGAUUUUCUUGAGUUUACUGUUUCU
rnacentral:lncRNA from 1 species